rnacentral:rRNA from 1 species
UACACUCCUACGGGAGGCAGCAGUGGGGAAUUUUGGACAAUGGGCGAAAGCCUGAUCCAGCAAUGCCGCGUGAGUGAAGAAGGCCUUCGGGUUGUAAAGCUCUUUUGUCAGGGAAGAAACGGUGAAAGCUAAUAUCUUUUGCUAAUGACGGUACCUGAAGAAUAAGCACCGGCUAACUACGUGCCAGCAGCCGCGGUAAUACGUAGGGUGCAAGCGUUAAUCGGAAUUACUGGGCGUAAAGCGUGCGCAGGCGGUUUUGUAAGUCUGAUGUGAAAUCCCCGGGCUCAACCUGGGAAUUGCAUUGGAGACUGCAAGGCUAGAAUCUGGCAGAGGGGGGUAGAAUUCCACGUGUAGCAGUGAAAUGCGUAGAUAUGUGGAGGAACACCGAUGGCGAAGGCAGCCCCCUGGGUCAAGAUUGACGCUCAUGCACGAAAGCGUGGGGAGCAAACAGGAUUAGAAACCCUAGUAGUCCCAUGAU